AUCUGCAUAAAAGGACGCUUUCACCCCGUCUGUUCCACCCCGUCUGCACACACACACACACACACACACACACCGCUGAGGAGAGACCGGCACAGAGAUGCAUGCGCAGGAGAGGCAGUUUUGACUAUAGGAGCGUCACCUCAAUCUUCCUCCACCAGAGAAGGUCACCUGGAUAGUGGAACAUACAAUCUGAUGGUGCUUUUUUACAAUCAACUACCAUUUUGGGGACUUGGGAUUGGGAUGGAUUCAAACAAUUUGUUACCUGUCCAAAUCUUUCAUCGGUAGACUACACCACCUGCCAAACUAGAACAAAGAUUAGGAGUCUAGAAUGCACCAGAUCCACUAGAAGAUGAGCAAAACAAAUAGGGUAUGUACACUGUUUGGUUUUUGUCUUGUCUUUCUCUGUUUUUCAAAGGGCAAAAGGACAAAAUUCUGUCAAAUACUUUCAAACUCCAAAACAGAACACCUGCGGCAUGUCUGGUUUUGUUCUUGUUGAUAGUUAUUCUGGGUUUUCUUCAUUCAGCUGAUGCUCAGACGUCGUUACCAAAGGUAGCUUCUUGUAGGAACCUGGGAGCUUCACAAUGAUGGUAGUUUAUGAAUCAACUCUUCUAGGAUUUGAUCCUGCAGUCUUUCAGUUACAAAUGGAGAUCUGUAAUCACUGAAACUCACCACGGCACUCCACGAAACACCUUAUAAAGCUGCUAAAAAGUGUAUCAGCAUCUAUGCAUGUUAAAAAAUGCUUCUAUUAUCAGGUAAAUGUAGAUCAGGACUUUCCAUAGACUUUGAAUUCUAUGUGAUAGUUCAUUGUUUUCAAAUUUUCUUUUUUGGAAACACAUUUGUGUGGUUUAGUGGCUAAAAAUUAGAGCUAGUUUGAACCCUUCAGAGAACGAGCCACGAGCCUUCAAGCAAGACAUUUACCCACAGGUUCCUCUUGGGCGACUGAAUCUGUGCUGUAAGUUGCAUCAGGUAAAUCUGUCUGCUGAAUGAAUAUCUGUUCAUAUAACUUGAAAUGUAGGAAUACAUUCACUCACAAUCUCUGAUAAAUCCUCAGGCGCCACCUGUUGUUUGUUUUAGGUAUGACUACCUGAAAACUUUCUAGUUUUCUGAUGCAAAACUCACCUUCUUUUGUUGUUGUUUUUCUCUCCAGAGUUGCAUGUUGGGGCAAGAAUGAUGUUCGUCCAGAAAUUUGAUAAUCAAGGCCUUAGUCAUACACCAAAGAAUUAAGGUUGCUCUCAGACGUUCAGACGCCCUUGUACCUCGACUGUUGACAGCAAUAUUUGUGUUUGGUGAGUUUAUGUUUAUAUUUCUAUUUGAUGUCACGUUUUCAGCUAAAGCAAACAAAUUAUUUUUUUAUGAUGGACAACCCUUACUCCGCCUGUUGAAGUCGUGCCAAAAAAAUGACACUGUUGUUUACUCAUCAAAUAUAGACAUCUAUAAAAACCACUUCAAUUAUUUGCCCAAGCAAACACGCUCUUUGCCUUUUAGACAUUAUUGAUUACCUUCAGAGAAUUACAGCGUUUUUCCAAGAGCGAUGAUCAAUUACUUGUCAAGCGAUAAGAGACUGUAUGACAUAAAAACGGUGAAAUAUUGUAAUAUCGCUCUGGAU